GCAGCACCACUGGGCACAGUGGUAUGGACAAAGUACACUGGGUCAGUGCAUCUGGCUGUUAACCAGAAGAUUGGUGGUUCAAGCCCCACCAGGGAUGGCUGUG